GGCUUAUUGGCUGUGUCCACAUUCCGGGUUCUCAGAGGCAACUGUGCUUCUCAUGUGGGGUUGGGGGGGGGGUCUCCUUCUUCCAGGACCACAGUCCUAUUGGAUCAGAGCCCCACCUUUGUGACGUCAUUUACCCUUGAUUACCUCCUAAGGACCCUAUUUUCAAAUGCAGUUCUAUUAUGGGUUGGGACUUGAGUGUAGUUCAAUCCACUGCGUGGGCUGCAGCCUCUGUCCCAGCUCCCCAGCUCUGCCGUUGUGGUGUGCGGACAGUCGUAGGCGGCAUGCCGGCGAUGGAUGUGGCUAUAUUCCAGUGCAGACUACUUAGAGCACAGGCAGCAGGCUGGUUGGUCCCUGGGCUGUAGUUUGCCCACCCCUGGUCUAUGCCAUUCUAGAAAUUAAACACGAGCUAGUAAAUGGGGUUGCUCUGAAGACCGAGGAGGUCAUGACAUCGGCAAAGGCAGCCUAGCAGAGACCUUGGCAUAUGUGUGAACCCUGCUAGUUCCUGCGGAAAGACAAGCGCUGCCUGAGAGAGUGAAUUCAGCAGCAGUGGUGCGGCACUCUCCAUUUGGCUGGGAGGAGCAGGAAUAUCGGAAAUAUCAAGAGAAUUAAGAUGUGGAAGGACUGUGAAAACCACAAAGCUCUGUGAGCACCGUGUCGAAGAUAGAAGAGCCAUUUAUGGAAUUUUAAAAUUUAGCAUUUGUGGGAUUUGAGUCCUGGGACUUGGGUUAGACCUGGGGUCUGUCCCUCACCUGCUAUUUAACCUCCCCAAGUCUCAUAUUCUUCACUGAUGAAAUGGGGAUAAUACCAUCUCCUUAGAUUACUGAGACUUUAUUGGAGUUGAAAGUGAAAGUUGCUCAGUUGUGUCUAACUCUUUGCAAUCCCACGGACUGAACAGUCCAUGGAAUUCUCCAGGGCAGAAUACUGGAGUGGGUAGCCUUUCCCUUCUCCAGAGGAUCUUCCCAACCCAGGGAUCAAACCCAGGUCUCCCACAUUGCAGGUGGAUUCUUUGCCAGCUGAGCCACAAGGGAAGCCCAAGAAUACUGAAGUGGGUAGCCUAUCCCUUCUCCAGGGGAUCUUCCCAAACCAGGGAUCAAACCGGGGUCUCCUGCUUUGCAGGCAGAUUCUUUACCAAGGGCACUAUCAGGGAAGCCCUUAUUGGAGCUAAUGUAUGUUAAAGCGCUCUAUAAAUUCUAAAGCAGGAGCUAGAAAACUUUUUCUGAAAGGGUCAGAUAGUAAAUGUUUGAAACUUUUUUAUUUUCUCUGUUGUAACAACUCGGUAUGGCAUUUGUAGCACAAAAGCAGCCAUGGAAAAUACAUAAACGAGUGUGGCUGUGCUCCAAUGAAACUUAGCAAAGUCAAGUGGAGGGCCAUAUGUGGCUCACUGGCUGUAGUUUGCCAGUUCCUGUUCGAAAGCAUAUGAUGUGGCUUUGUUGAGCUCAAAUAAUGCGUUGAAAGUGGUAGAUAACUACCGUUCAUUUAUUUAGCCCCUCAGAUUGCUAUAGGGAAAUGAGGUAG
ensembl:lncRNA